rnacentral:rRNA from 1 species
AGAGUUUGAUCCUGGCUCAGGACGAACGCUGGCGGCGUGCCUAAUACAUGCAAGUCGAGCGGGUUUCACCCUUCGGGGUGGAGCUAGCGGCGGACGGGUGAGUAAUACGUAGGCAACCUGCCUGUAAGCCUGGGAUAACUACCGGAAACGGUAGCUAAGACCGGAUACGUCACCAUGGGGCAUCCCGAGGUGUGGAAAGA